AGAGUUUGAUCCUGGCUCAGGACGAACGCUGGCGGCACGCCUAACACAUGCAAGUCGAGCGCGAAAGCCGCUUCGGUGGCGAGUAGAGCGGCGCACGGGUGAGUAACGCGUGGCCAACCUGCCCUCGGGACCGGGACAACCCUUCGAAAGGGGGGCUAAUACCGGAUGAGACCCAGAUCGUGGGAUCGGGGUUGAAAGCUCCGGCGCCCGGGGAGGGGGCCGCGUCCCAUCAGCUAGCCGGUGAGGUAAUGGCUCACCGGGGCGACGACGGGUAGCGGGUCUGAGAGGACGGUCCGCCACACUGGCACUGAGACACGGGCCAGACUCCUGCGGGAGGCAGCAGUGGGGAAUCUUGCGCAAUGGGCGCAAGCCUGACGCAGCGAUGCCGCGUGGGUGAAGAAGGCCUUCGGGUCGUAAAGCCCUUUUGGUGGGGAGGAUGAUGACGUCACCCACCGAAUAAGCGCCGGCUAACUACGUGCCAGCAGCCGCGGUAAUACGUAGGGCGCGAGCGUUGUCCGGAAUCACUGGGCGUAAAGGGCGCGCAGGUGGGUUCGCAAGCGGGGGGUGAAAGGCUGGGGCUCAACCCCGGGACUGCUUCCCGAACUGCGGAUCUAGAGGGGGUCAGGGGCCAGCGGAAUUCCGGGUGGAGAGGUGAAAUUCGUAGAGAUCCGGAGGAACGCCGGCGGCGAAAGCGGCUGGCUGGGGCCGCCCUGACACUGAGGCGCGAGAGCGUGGGGAGCAAACAGGAUUAGAUACCCUGGUAGUCCACGCCGUAAACGAUGAUAACUAGCCGUUGGGGGGAUUUACCCCUUAGUGGCGAAGCUAACGCGUUAAGUUAUCCGCCUGGGGAGUACGGCCGCAAGGCUAAAACUCAAAGGAAUUGACGGGGACCCGCACAAGCGGUGGAGCAUGUGGUUUAAUUCGAUGCAACGCGAAGAACCUUACCUGGUCUUGACAUCCUGCGAACUUUCUAGAAAUAGAUUGGUGCCUUCGGGAACGCAGUGACAGGUGCUGCAUGGCUGUCGUCAGCUCGUGUCGUGAGAUGUUGGGUUAAGUCCCGUAACGAGCGCAACCCCUAUCCUUAUUUGCCAGCACAUUAUGGUGGGAACUAUAAGGAGACUGCCGGUGAUAAACCGGAGGAAGGCGGGGAUGACGUCAAGUCCUCAUGGCCCUUACGUGUUGGGCUACACACGUGCUACAAUGGUACUUACAGUGAGAAGCAAAGAGGCGACUCUAAGCCAAUCCCUAAAAGGUACCUCAGUUCGGAUUGUACUCUGCAACUCGAGUACAUGAAGCUGGAAUUACUAGUAAUCGCGGAUCAGCGCGCCGCGGUGAAUACGUUCCCGGGUCUUGUACACACCGCCCGUCACACCAUGGAAGUUGGUUACACCUUAAGGCAAAGCAUAAAACCUUUGACUACGGUACGAUCAGCGACUGGGGUGAAGUCGUAACAAGGUAACC
rnacentral:rRNA from 1 species